AUCGCUUCUCGGCCUUUUGGCUAAGAUCAAGUGUAGUAUCUGUUCUUAUCAGUUUAAUAUCUGAUACGUCCCCUAUCUGGGGACCAUAUAUUAAAUUGAUUUUUGGAAUAGGGAGAUGGAAUAGGGGCUUGCUCCGUCCACUCCACGCAUCGACCUGGUAUUGCAGUACCUCCAGGAACGGUGCACCCCCU
ensembl:snRNA U2 U2 spliceosomal RNA